rnacentral:rRNA from 1 species
CCUACGGGUGGCAGCAGUGGGGAAUAUUGCACAAUGGGGGAAACCCUGAUGCAGCGACGCCGCGUGAGUGAAGAAGUAUUUCGGUAUGUCAAGCUCUAUCAGCAGGGACGAAAUAGCGACCUUUGGUUCGCCAGACGGUACCUGAUUAAGCAGCGCCGGCUAACUACGUGCCAGCAGCCGCGGUAAUACGGAGGAUGCGCGCGUUAUCCGGAUUUAUUGGGUUUAAAGGGUGCGCAGGCGGAAUGUCAAGUCAGCGGUAAAAUUUCGGGGCUCAACCCCGUCGUGCCGUUGAAACUGGCGUUCUUGAGUGAGCUAGAGGUGUGCGGAAUGCGUGGUGUAGCGGUGAAAUGCAUAGAUAUCACGCAGAACUCCGAUUGCGAAGGCAGCAUACCGGCGCUCAACUGACGCUCAUGCGCGAAAGCGUGGGUAUCGAACAGGAUUAGAUACCCUUGUAGUC